rnacentral:lncRNA from 1 species
CGAAUUUAACCAGUGUUUGUUUCCACUCAAGUUCAUGUCAACAGAAAAUAACAGAGCUGAGGGGUUUUACCUAUGUUUUCUAGCUGAAGUUGGCCUUUACUCUGUGGUUCCAAAAUGGCCAAAUUUAAAAACUAAUGCAAGUUUGUGAAUAAUGCAGGAAUCCACGGUGUGAAUUGAGGGUCCAUCGAUAGUGCUGUAACAACUAGUGUAAAGCCAGAGUCCACUGACAAUGCAGUGACCCCCAAUGUCAAGCCAGAAUCACCUGAGAAGAUCCAGUAAGUACUUUGUUCAUUAACUGAAAGUUUUCUGGUGAUCUAAAAAUUCGAAAGUUGUGUUUGAUGUUUAUCUUUAGAUAUAUGCUUAUUUGAAGUUUUUUAGAAGAUUUAAUAGGAAAGUCGUCUUUUAAUGUUUCAUUUUCCUAGUGAAUAGUCUGCUUUAACAUUUGAAUCUCUUUCACGUUCCCAUUUCAUAUGUGCCUAUGUUAUGAGCUUCAAUAUCUAGUAACAUUUUUUUAAGAACCUUCAUACAGGCUUUUAACAGCUACCAUUUCUUUUAAAAACAAAUGCUUUUGGUUAUAUCUAACCAAGUGAGGGCCUUUAUGAUUUUAAAGCCUGGGCAAAGAAACAUGUUUUACAUUUGCAUGCUUGAUAUGUUGCUUCACGAUGAGUUUUGUGGAGAUAAUCACUACUCAGAACUUAAUUUCAUGAAAUGUCAUUCUCAGACGUGCGAAUUAAUUUGUUGUCAUCAUGUUGUGUUAAUAUCAACAACUUAAUCAAAUCCCCCUUUCUUUUCCUGGAGACCUUCAAAAUUCAAACAUUGUUUGAUUAUAUUAAGUUAGAAGAUAAACUGUCACUGAUGAUUCUUGUAAUUGUAUAUCUCUGUUUGGUGUUAAACCAGCUAAAAACAUUGUAAUUUGUAUAAAUGUUCUUAUUAUACAGAAUCUGCUACUCUGGUUGGUGGUUCUUUGAUUUUCUUCAACCUGAUCAAUGCGCUGAGGAGUCUGCAACUGUAUGAGAACAACUAGGGUGUUUUGAUUUGUUUAUUCAGGAUACAAAGUGCAACUAAUGAUUCUGCGUGUUAUGUAUUAUUUUGAGACUCUUAAACUGUGCGAAGCUCUUAUUCUUAUUUGAAAUAUUCUAAUUUUCUUCAUUUCAUUAAAUGUUCUUGACUUGAUGGUUAAUAGGUUUUCAGUGGACCUGACCAUUGGGCCAAUGAAUUUGGUGCUGAAAGAUUGCGACAAGAGUCUGUCGAUGAUCAAUGGGUCAAUGAAUUCUCAAAGUUGCAUGUUGAUGACUGGGCAGAAGAAUUUGGUCGUCAAGUUGGUGAGGGGGCUUUGGGAGAUAGUUGGUCUGAUAACUGGGCAAAUUCAUAUGAUGAGUAAGUCUAGUAGCCUUGAAGAAGUUCACUUUAUAACCUCUCUUAAUUCUACAUGAAUGUUUUGGAUGUGAAAACUUGUAGGUUCCUCAGCGGUCGGACGCUUCAAGGGGUGUCUUUGCAUUUUCUGAUAUGAAUCCAUAUGUUGGUCAUCAAAAUCCUUUAAAAGAAGGUCAAGAGCUAUUGAGGAAAGGACUUUUGAGUGAAGCAGUGCUUGCCCUAGAGGCUGAAAUUAUGAAAAAUCCUGAGAAUGCUGAAGGUUGGAGAUUGCUAGGAAUAACCCAUGCUGAAAAUGAUGAUGACCAGAAGGUAAUCCACUUUGCUCUAGUUUGUCAGAGUUGGAUAGUUCGUGUGUAUUCUUACACCAAAAGACAUUGUUUUUGUGUUCUUUAAUACUACAAGAAUUUCUAUUAAGAGAUGUGACUGCUUGUCUAGCUCAGCCAUCUGUUCAGCAUCUUUGGUUAUGAUUCUUUGCCUGGAAAGGUUGACUAUUUACCUUUCUAUUCCACCUAGAUCUAAAUCAUUUUUAAUCUUGUCUAAUGCCCUGUGAAAAUAAGAGAGCUAAGGGGUUUUACCUAUGUUUUCUAGCUGAAGUUGGCCUUUACUCUGUGGUUCCAAAAUGGCCAAAUUUAAAAACUAAUGCAAGUUUGUGAAUAGUGCAGGAAUCCACGGUGUGAAUUGAGGGUCCAUCGAUAGUGCUGUAACAACUAGUGUAAAGCCAGAGUCCACUGGCAAUGCAGUGGCCCCCAAUGUCAAGCCAGAAUCACCUGGGAAGAUCCAG